UUUAGGUGUGAGGGUGUGCGUAGAACAUCAGGAGAAACACAAAGGGAGCCAAAACCCUUGUUCAUCAAGAAUCACUAAAUUGGUGAUGAAUUUAUGAUCCAAUCUUAUGCAUGAAUGAAGAUCUCAACCUUACAAACAUGUGGAUCAUGUCAAGGUGGGUGGAAGCGUGGAAGGCUAACGGGAAGGAUGCGAGGAAGCAAGUACGAAACGGGCGCUUAAGGUAAGUUAUUUCCGGAAUCACUUCUUAUUUUAUAAAUGAAGUUUGGUAUGUUGUAUAUAGGGAACCAUGUAAGAAGUUACGGGUAAGGGUAAGUACCAAGGUAAGUUCAUAUGAACUUUGUCUAUUCUUAAUGUAAAUUAAGAUGAUAGUUUCAUCACGUUAAUGGAAUGUUCAUGAUGUUAAUGGAAUGUUCAUCAUGUUACUGAAAUGUUCAUCAUGUUACUGAAAUGUUCAUCAUGUUACGGGAAUGUUCUUCAUGUUACGGAAAUGUUCAUCAUGUUAUUGAAAUGUUCAUCAUGUUAUUGAAAUGUUCAUCAUGUUACUGAAAUGUUCAUCAUGUUACAGAAAUGUUCAUCAUGUUACUGAAAUGUUCAUCAUGUUACUGAAAUGUUUAUCAUGUUAAUGGAAUGUUCAUCAUGUUAAUAGAAUAUUCAUCAUAUUAAUGAAAUGUUCAUCAUGUUAAUGGAAUGUUCAUCAUGUUAAUCGAAUGUUCAUCAUGUUAAUGAAAUGUUCAUCAUAUUAAUGGAAUGUUCAUCACGUUAAUGGAAUGUUCAUCAUGUUAAUGGAACGCUCAUCAUGUUAAUGGAAUGUUCAUCAUGUUUGUUGGAAGUUAGUUGGUUAUGUUUAUUUGUAACUACAUCGAUUUUUAUUGAUAUGUUUGUAGGUAAGGCUCAACUUUAGAUGCUUGCGACGUUCAAAGUUUGAUAUCUGAAUACGAAUAAGUGAAUGUGACUUGUAUGCAUGUAUAUAGAUAUGGAACUGUAGCGUGUGUAAGUAGUGUGAACUUGUAUGUACGCACAUAUGAAUGGGAUACGUAUGAAUGUACUUAGAUAUAUGAAUGUGUAUAUGCGUGUUGUAAUCUAAUGAUUGUAGAUCAUUGGUAUACGUAUAUGUGAAGAUGUGGGCUUUCAACAUGUUUGAGAUUACGUAUUCCUAACCAUGUUACUAUUGAGAAUGAAAUGAAGUGUAGGUAUGGGAACGCCGGACUCUCGAGGAAUUGAUGUCGGACUCGAGUAAAUAAAAUUGAGAGGAUGGUUCAAUGGAAUAUCUUACAUAAUUAGAAUGCGAUAUAGCCUUUUAAGUAUAUGUUUUAAAUUAUAUAUGAUGUCACCAUGUACUAACGUGUUGGUUAUAUAUGGUGACCGCAGGUUAGUCAGAUAUUCAUGAUGGACAAGUGAACGAGGGUCGAGUUGAAGAUCAUGGAUUGUACGGGAAAGCGGUCACGUUGUUUGUAACUAUUUGUUAAGUUACAUUAAAUAAAUGAUCAAUGAUGUAUUUAUGUUAAAAGGGUUGACCUAAACGGUAUUCAAGUGUGUUAGAGCAGU
rnacentral:lncRNA from 1 species